CCUUUAGCGGAAAGGGGGGAGGGACUGAGAAGUUAUCGAUGUUCAAAUUUCUUUGAAUUGUUUUGAGUUCUGGAUCUUCACAAUCCUACCUACAGCACCUUUAAUAGAGAAGUCAGUAGAGGUACAAACAAAGAGACAUAUGGGUACACUGGUAAAAAGGGUGCUGUCCCAUUUGAAGGGAUACAAUCGUUUAAUAUUGAGAAAAAUAUGUAAUUUGUUUUUACAGCUUUUCAGAGGCAGAGUUUCACCGGAUGCAGAAAUAAUCUCAUUGGUUGGGUUACUGCCAACUUGGUGCCAUAUUUUUGAUACUUUUUCGGUCUACUAACACCAAACUUUGGAACAAUUGGUCCUCAGAUUAUUAGGUUGAUCUCUCAGCUCUUACAUAGCCAUACACACAUACCAACCAAUGAGAAUAUUUUAGCCUAAAGAGCACCUCUGCCUCCAAGAAAUGUCUGUAGAACUACAUUACCAAUCUCUAAAAUAUAUUGACAAUUGAUGUUAUAUUGAAAAUGACAUUUAUAUAAAGUGUGAACUGAGAGCUGACGUGAGAAAUAUAUUGAAUUUCUAAUCCAUUAUCCCUUCUUUAGGAGUAGGGGGGGGGGGGGGGCAAAGGUUUGAUUCUGCUGAAUGUGGGGAUUACCAGGCUGAAAUAUACACACAGUCCAUCAUCUUUUCCUUCACCUCCUCUCUCCCUUCUUCUCGGCUGUCGUGUGACUCAGAGGAGUAAUCGUUUUAAAAGCUUUUCCCUCUCUCUCACUCUCUCGUUUGCUUCCCCGCAAGGUGAUAAAAGGUAUAGGAAAGCAAGAAAGUACAGAGCAAGCUGCAGUCGGUCGUUAAUUAAUAUGGUUUCAUUUAACAGUCGGUCCCUGCGUAUGCGGAAACAGCCACAUUGCAACUUGUUGCUAAGAGACAUAAAUAAAAGUUGCGUAGGAGAAAGUCAAGUUGAAGACUUGGAGUUCAGGCAAGGAUACACAGUUUUUUCUUCUAGAGCCAACAGAAAGAUGUAUCCGAAUAACGUUUGUGUGAAUAACAUGUUUACAGUCUUUUGUUCAGUAAAAUGAGUAGAGCCACUUAAAAUGACACUAAAUGCCAGACGAGCAUGAACAAAUCAAAAAAAUUCAGACUUCAGACUUAGAAAACAAAGAUUUACACAUAUAAUCUGUCACAGACAAAAAAAACGGCUACUCCGGAAGUCUAUUACUUUACCACUUUGUAGAGAAAACUACCACAACGGGCACAAAGGAUUUAAAAUAAAUGCAGUCGUCCACAUUUAGAAAAACCAUCAGAGAAGAUAUCUGACCCAAGAAUUUAAAAGGGAACUGCCCUUUUAAAAAGUUGAUGUUGUAAAGCAACAACUCAGGCUACAAAUAUGAGUUCUGCUUCCCGACCAGAACCCAACAAAGUAUUAGGUUUCGGGUCAUUUUGAUGUUUAAAACUUGGGGCUCCUGUGAAUUGGGCUGUUUUUGCAAUGAGGCUCAUUUAUAUAGAAUGGGGUCAAUAUUGCGCCAAAUGUAUGCACAUUAUCUAAUUUAAAUAUGUGCAAAUAGCACAGGAGCACCGAGACGCUGUUUGCUUGGCAGUGCAGUUAGGGGUGCAUUUCACCCUUUGCAGGCGCUUUGAGAAUUACACAGCUUCUUUUUGUCUUAUUUGUGCAGGUUUAGCGGGCGCUUAGUGUAGCCAAUACAUCGCUAAUUUUACUAAUGUAUGAAAUAAGGCAAUAUAGACUAAACAGUGGUCCUCAUCUCAAAGCCCCAUAAUAUAUUACAAAAAAAAAUUGUUGUCAAUUUUGUUGAGAACUACUUUCUGCCAAAGUAAACCUGCCAAAUGUCUAUCUACAUGCUCACAAUGAGCUCCAUGUGUUAUAGACAGAAACCAUGCUGUUACAUUUGGAAAAACUAUUGCUGUUGAGUUUUUUCAGAUAUUGCUUUUUGUUGCUUUGGGUGCAACUAACCCAACUCUGAUUGACUUUCACUGACUCGUGGUGAGCUACACCCAACCU